rnacentral:rRNA from 2 species
AUGAUGUGGAUUAAUUCGAUGCAACGCGAAAACCUUACCUACCCUUGACAUGUCCGGAAUCCGAAGAGAUUUGGGAGUGCUCGCAAGAGAGCCGGAACACAGGUGCUGCAUGGCUGUCGUCAGCUCGUGUCGUGAGAUGUUGGGUUAAGUCCCGCAACGAGCGCAACCCUUGUCUUUAGUUGCCAUCAUUAAGUUGGGCACUCUAAAGAGACUGCCGAUGACAAAUCGGAGGAAGGUGGGGAUGACGUCAAAUCAUCAUGCCCUUUAUGUCCUGGGCUACACACGUGCUACAAUGGUCGGUACAACGAGAAGCAAGUCAGCGAUGGCAAGCAAAUCUCUAAAAGCCGAUCCCAGUUCGGAUUGCAGGCUGCAACUCGCCUGCAUGAAGUCGGAGUUGCUAGUAAUCGCGGAUCAGAAUGCCGCGGUGAAUGCGUUCCCGGGUCUU